ACCCUCUCAGGGUCACUCCUGGAGAGUUUCCGGUACUCUGCCAGUCUCGACUAGAGGAGGGAGGGUCAAGCAGAGGCCUACCCAUUCUAUUCCUAGCUUGGGCAGUGGCUAGCGUGUGAAAGGCAAUCUGCUACAAGU